AGUGAACGCUGGCGGUAGGCCUAACACAUGCAAGUCGAACGGCAGCACAGUAAGAGCUUGCUCUUCCGGGUGGCGAGUGGCGGACGGGUGAGGAAUACAUCGGAAUCUACUUUUUCGUGGGGGAUAACGUAGGGAAACUUACGCUAAUACCGCAUACGACCUACGGGUGAAAGCAGGGGAUCUUCGGACCUUGCGCGAUUGAAUGCGCCGAUGUCGGAUUAGCUAGUUGGCGGGGUAAAGGCCCACCAAGGCGACGAUCCGUAGCUGGUCUGAGAGGAUGAUCAGCCACACUGGAACUGAGACACGGUCCAGACUCCUACGGGAGGCAGCAGUGGGGAAUAUUGGACAAUGGGCGCAAGCCUGAUCCAGCCAUACCGCGUGGGUGAAGAAGGCCUUCGGGUUGUAAAGCCCUUUUGUUGGGAAAGAAAAGCAGCAGGUUAAUACCCCGCUGUUCUGACGGUACCCAAAGAAUAAGCACCGGCUAACUUCGUG
rnacentral:rRNA from 1 species